GCACUACUGAGGAGUCCCACAACAGAACGAAACGGCCGUCCACUGC
rnacentral:hammerhead_ribozyme from 1 species